AGCACCUUAUACAGUCAAUGACAAUGUAUAAUGAAUACACGUUCUAAAUAAUAUCGAUGGGCACUUAAUUGAAUACCGGUAAUGCACAACAUAAUAGUAUUAUUGCGUAGAAUCUCAAAGGUAAAGAUUUUCUCAAUAUUCAUGUCUGAAAUGUUCAUAUACUUGAAAACAACACUGUCUCGCUUGUGCCUACGUAUACUGUACCUCUGUAUAACGAGUAUGCCGUGAAAAUAAUAUCGGCACUCAAUUGAAUGCCUAGAAUCUCAAAGAUUUUCUCAAUAUUUACGUCUGAAAUGUUUAUACAUUUGAAAACAACACUGUCACGUCGCUCCUUCCUAGCUUUGUAUAUUAAUGAAUAUACCGUCCACAUAUAUCAGUACUUGAUUGAAAGACCGUCAUGCAUAACAUAAAUUUAUAUAUUGCGUAGAUUCUCAAAGAUUUACUCAAUAUUCACGUCUGAAAUGUUUAAAUUAAUACUGCAUUUGAAAACAACACUGUCGCUCCUUCCUAGCAUCGUAUCUACGCCUUCAUAGCGCAUGCGCAUUUGCCCUGCUAUAGAAAAAAUCGGGUGUUCCGGGGGGAAAGAUCCUUUACACAACAUGAGAGGCGAAUGUUCUGAAAUUACAAAAAAUUACAAUAACGACAACGAUUCCUCGAAAUUUUUGUGAACUU